rnacentral:rRNA from 1 species
AUGAACGCUGGCGGCGUGCCUAAUACAUGCAGGUCGAGCGAACAGACGAGGAGCUUGCUCCUCUGACGUUAGCGGCGGACGGGUGAGUAACACGUGGAUAACCUACCUAUAAGACUGGGAUAACUUCGGGAAACCGGAGCUAAUACCGGAUAAUAUAUUGAACCGCAUGGUUCAAUAGUGAAAGACGGUUUUGCUGUCACUUAUAGAUGGAUCCGCGCCGCAUUAGCUAGUUGGUAAGGUAACGGCUUACCAAGGCAACGAUGCGUAGCCGACCUGAGAGGGUGAUCGGCCACACUGGAACUGAGACACGGUCCAGACUCCUACGGGAGGCAGCAGUAGGGAAUCUUCCGCAAAGGGCGAAAGCCUGACGGAGCAACGCCGCGUGAGUGAUGAAGGUCUUCGGAUCGUAAAACUCUGUUAUUAGGGAAGAACAAAUGUGUAAGUAACUAUGCACGUCUUGACGGUACCUAAUCAGAAAGCCACGGCUAACUACGUG